UUGUACCUCUGAAAGAACCUCUUCACUGAUUCCUGCUUCUUCUCUUGCUUCUCCUUUAUCUGGAUCAGUUAUAGCAUGCAAGAGUUGCUGGUUCAAAUGUUAAGUGAGAUUGCAUCAGCCUCCUGGUCAAAACCCUUAGUGGCUUUAAGCAGAGUAGAAUCCCAAACUCUCACAGCUACCAGAGCAAACUCAGUGAUAUGGGAUCUCAGUGAUGUGGAACCCUGGUCUUCCUAUUGCUCCCACUCUUCCAGGUGCACCUCACUCUAUAUGGGAACAUGCACAACAGGGUACAGUUCCCUUACUAUUGAUGUGGAGAAAAACAUAAACAAAGCUACAGUAAAGCACUUUUUCAGAGGUUGAGAAAAGCCAGCAUAAGCACAAGAGAGAGUCAGGCACUCUGACAGAAGCAACUUCCCUGAGAGCCAUUAAGAUCAUCUGAAAUAAAAUGUAAUUUGCUGACAGAA